rnacentral:rRNA from 1 species
GAUGAACGCUGGCGGCGUGCCUAAUACAUGCAAGUCGAGCGAACAGAUGAGGAGCUUGCUCCUCUGACGUUAGCGGCGGACGGGUGAGUAACACGUGGAUAACCUACCUAUAAGACUGGGAUAACUUCGGGAAACCGGAGCUAAUACCGGAUAAUAUAUUGAACCGCAUGGUUCAAUAGUGAAAGACGGUUUUGCUGUCACUUAUAGAUGGAUCCGCGCCGCAUUAGCUAGUUGGUAAGGUAACGGCUUACCAAGGCAACGAUGCGUAGCCGACCUGAGAGGGUGAUCGGCCACACUGGAACUGAGACACGGUCCAGACUCCUACGGGAGGCAGCAGUAGGGAAUCUUCCGCAAUGGGCGAAAGCCUGACAGAGCAACGCCGCGUGAGUGAUGAAGGUCUUCGGAUCGUAAAACUCUGUUAUUAGGGAAGAACAAAUGUGUAAGUAACUAUGCACGUCUUGACGGUACCUAAUCAAAAAGCCCCGGCUAACUACGUG